UGAAGACACACUUGAGUGUGUCCAAAAGGAUGAAACAUCAUUUAGAACCAGAUCCAGAGGAACCAUGAGAACCAACGCUGCAGACACAGGAGGAAGAGCGAUCACACUGGUCAUAGUCAGCUUCGGAGUCCUGUGCAUGCUACAAGCGUCUCUCAAUGUCGGUCUACGUCUAUUCCUCAACAUGAGUCACCAAAACCUGUCUGAAGAAAGAGAUGAGCUACACAAAAUGUAUUCAC